rnacentral:rRNA from 1 species
AGCGAACGCUAGCGGCGGGCUUAACACAUGCAAGUCGAGCGCUUCACUUCGGUGAAGAGCGGCGAACGGGUGAGUAACACGUAGGUUACCUGCCCUCUGGUGGGGAAUAACCCAGGGAAACCCGGGCUAAUACCGCAUAUGGUCUACGGAUCAAAGCCUUCGGGCGCCAGAGGAUGGGCCUGCGGCCCAUUAUUUAAUCCUUGUUGGUGGGGUAACGGCCUACCAAGGGUACGAUGGGUAGCUGGUCUGAGAGGAUGAUCAGCCACACUGGGACUGAGACACGGCCCAG